ACGGAAGGCAGCAGUGAGGAAUAUUGCGCAAUGGGCGAAAGCCUGACGCAGCGACGCCGCGUGGAGGACGAAGGUCUUCGGAUCGUAAACUCCUGUCGAGCGGGACGAAGCCGAGACGGUGAAUAGCCGUUUCGGUUGACGGUACCGCUAAAGGAAGCCCCGGCUAACUCCGUGCCAGCAGCCGCGGUAAUACGGAGGGGGCCAGCGUUGUUCGGAAUCAUUGGGCGUAAAGGGCGCGUAGGCGGCUUGGUAAGUCCGUUGUGAAAUCCCUCGGCUCAACCGAGGAACUGCGACGGAUACUGCUUGGCUUGAGUCCCGGAGAGGGUAGCGGAAUUCCCAGUGUAGCGGUGAAAUGCGUAGAUAUUGGGAGGAACAUCGGUGGCGAAGGCGGCUACCUGGACGGGUACUGACGCUGAUGCGCGAAAGCUAGGGGAGCAAACAGGAUUAGAUACCCUGGUA
rnacentral:rRNA from 1 species